GAGGAAAGUCCGGGCUUCACAGGGCGCGGUGGUGGAUAACGUCCACCCUCGGUAACGGUCGCGGGCGUCCCGGCUCGCACCGCCAACGGGCGGGAAAGUGCAACAGAAAGUGUACCGCCGGCGAGUAAAGGAAAAGUAAAAAGGAAAAAGGGCAAAGAUAAAAGGAAAAGCAAGAGACGGACGCGAACGGCGUCGGUCGUUCGGGGUUUCUACUUUUUCCUUUUGCCUUUCUACUUUUCCCUUUUCCUUUACUCGCCGGUAAGGGUGAAAAGGUGCGGGGCGCGAGCCCUUAAUGUAAGAGCGCACCAGCGGCGAGGUGACUCGUCGGCUCGGCAAACCCCACCGGAAGCAAGGUCAAGCAGGGGACAGGGUCGGCCCGACCCGUUACGAUCCCCGGGUAGACUGCUCGAUCCCGUCGGCAACGGCGGGGCUAGAUAAAUGAUCGUUACCGUCCGAAAGGGCGGGGACAGAACCCGGCUUA
rnacentral:RNase_P_RNA from 1 species